rnacentral:lncRNA from 1 species
UUGUUUUUUUUAUAUUAAUUUAAUUUUUUGUCAUUUUUCUUUUAAUCACAUUAUUUGUGACAUUUUUCUUUUAAACACUUUAUCUGUGACACUUAAUUUUUUAACAUUUUAUUUUUGGGCAUUUUGUUGUAUAUUUUUUAUAAUUUUAAUAUACAUUUUACUAUGACGUUCAAUAAAUUUGUUUACGUUAGUUUAUUCUUGUUUUUGCAAGUAUUUUUAUCUAAUUAUAUAUUAUAUGAUUUUUUAAACAACAUUUUAAGUAAAACUAAUUAUAUAACAUCAUGGAGGAAUAUAAAAAGUAUAAACAGUAAUUACUUAAAAGAAUUAGAACAAUUCGAAAAUAAUAAUAUUUUUAAAGAAGAUGUUUUUAAACACUAUUUUUUUUUACAAACGAAUGAAAAUAAUAAUGUGAUAUUAGUAAAAUUAUAUAAACAAGAUAUACCUUCAAAAAAAAUAUCAACGUAUUAUGGACAAAUAUCAGUAGGAGAAAAGUUAGAAAAUAAAUUUAAAGUUUUAUUUGAUACUGGUUCUACUGAAUUCUGGAUACCUUUUGAAAAAUGUAAAGGACCCAAGUUUAAUAGUACACAUAACAAAUAUAAACGUACUAACUCUUUUAAAUAUAAUUAUGACAGUAAAGGAUUACCCAGCGUGUUGGAAGUAGAUUACUUGAGUGGAAAAAUAAAAGGAUUUGACGGUUAUGACACAGUAAACUUGGGUAUGGAUCUAGCUAUUCCCGAUACAAAUAUAGCUUUUGCGGUAUUAUUAAUAAAAUGUCGUUACUGUUGUUUGUUUAUGCCAUUUUUGUAGUUAAUUUU